GUAAUACGUAUUCCUUUAGAGAAUUCAGAAUUGUGGAUAUUCAUCAAAUACUGUCAAUAAUAUAAUUGUUUUGUAUAUCUAUGGGUUCUCUCCUAUUGUAAGUCGAUAGGUAUAGUCAUGAAAUUAUAUAAAGCGCCGACGACAUCUUGAUGAUUCACUCUUUAAUGACGUAAUAGGUUUGUUCACGAAGUCGUCUAGUACCUACAAAAUGGAAUCUCAUGCGGGGAAAAGAUAGGUACAUCAGUGUUACAGACCUGAUAGGAAUGGACACAAGUCCAAUAAAUUAGUCAUCACAUACAGAACUCUAGAAAUGCCUUGCUGCAGCAUUCUCAAUACUGGCUGAUUCUGACAUGUCAACUAAAAUUAUCACAAUGGAAUAAUUGAAGUUACCUAUAACAUUUGGUUUACCUUAAAUUUCCUCACAUAAGCUCGAAAUUUCAAGACUCACAACAUUGAUGAGAAAUUAUUGUGAUGAAGUACUCAGGUGAGGACCUCAUUUACAAUAAAAGAGCACAAGACAACAAGAGCAGAGAUGCAGGCUACAUUCAUGAGUCGCAACCACGCUGUACUUGCAAGUGCUUUAUGCAAAUGUUUUGCACAAUACCAUGCUAACUAGACUGUUCAUUUUCAUGUCAUUGCAGAGCAUACAUAAAUAGUAUGGAUAAAAACAGUGUUGACGUUUGAAUGACGUUUUGAUAUCCAAGUCAGUGUUCCGUGUAGUCGUGAAAAAAUUAUCACAUUAUUUUCAAUACCUAAAGUUGUAAUCAGUGAUAAAGAAAAUUGUUAACUUGCAAUUAUCUAUUGCAACCUCUUGUG